GACGAACGCUGGCGGCGUGCUUAACACAUGCAAGUCGAACGGAAAGGCCCUGCUUUUGUGGGGUGCUCGAGUGGCGAACGGGUGAGUAACACGUGAGUAACCUGCCCUUGACUUUGGGAUAACUUCAGGAAACUGGGGCUAAUACCGGAUAGGAGCUCCUGCUGCAUGGUGGGGGUUGGAAAGUUUCGGCGGUUGGGGAUGGACUCGCGGCUUAUCAGCUUGUUGGUGGGGUAGUGGCUUACCAAGGCUUUGACGGGUAGCCGGCCUGAGAGGGUGACCGGCCACAUUGGGACUGAGAUACGGCCCAUACUCCUACGGGCGGCAGGGGUGGGGAAUAUUGCACAAUGGGCGGAAGCCUUAUGCAGCAACGCCGCGUGCGGGAUGACGGCCUUCGGGUUGUAAACCGCUUUCGCCUGUAACGAAGCGUGAGUGACGGUAAUGUGUAAAGAAGCACCGGCUAACUACGUG
rnacentral:rRNA from 1 species